rnacentral:lncRNA from 1 species
CUUAUUUCGCUCCACAUUAUAUAAAUUCACAUUGGCAAACUCCUCAUGGGCCAAGUUUUGUUUAUUUUGUUUCUGGGCCAUGCUGGAUGUAAGCUUGGGAAGCAUUGGGAGAAUGGUAUGUGCCUUUUCCCUCGACAUGUCAAGCUGAGCUCGGCUCAGUUGACGAACGAUGGAGGUUCAAGUGACUACAAUCACAGAUAACACAAGGGCAUGGCAGUGCUGAAUCGACGGCGAGGCACUGGCCGACGGCUGGAAUGGGUCUUUCUCUUCGCAGAUUGUUGAUGCGAGGGCACAGAAAAACUCGCAUCACUCUGAUGGAUGAGGAGGCAUAUUGAGGGCUUGAUCAAGCUGGUCAGCUAGUGCCCCACGACCAACACGUCAAACAGUAUUUGGUACUACCGAGAUUACAAGAGUGCACUUUAGAAAUUUUUAUCAAUCAGAACUGACGUCUCGACGAAACCAGUAGUCUGUUAGAGCUAUCUUGUUAGGUCUAAGGAUCUACCAUACUACUACAUGAUUGUGUAAUAGUAGACUUGGCUGUUGGAGUUGGGAGUGCGCCAAGGCCUAUAUAAAAAUUAAUUUUUAAAAAUUUAUAAAAAUCCACUCCACAGUAUAGCAUGUAAGGGGAGUUUAGUACUGAAUUGUCUAUUUGUAGGAGAGAAACCAU